rnacentral:lncRNA from 1 species
CAUCUUUUAUGACCCAUUCCAUUCAUCACAGUUUCACAACAUCUGCACCAUAGUUGUUUUAUGGCAACUUGACAGCUAUACCAUAUUUGUUGAACAAUCCCUAAAUCAGCCUGGAUGAAUGGUAAUAAAGCUUCUCCACAUUCUCUCUUGCUUCGUUUAUUUCAACACAGUACAUAACAUCAACUUUGCAUCAUAUAGCAACUCAAUAGGGCCAGCAGAUUAAACUGUAAUUCGAGAAUAAAUGUUCAAGACAACAACACCACCAUGUUCCCACGCACACACAGAAAAGUACAACACCAACUGGGUAGAGUUCAACAGAUCUAAACUCAU